rnacentral:lncRNA from 1 species
UUUUUUUUUUUUUUUUUUUUUUUAACACUUGAAUAUAAAUUUAUUGCACUAAAGCUGUUAACAAUGACCUUACCGCUACAGCUUUAACUGUAAGGUACCCUGAAAUAGUUAGUAUCUAUAAGAACAGGGUUUCAUAUAGAUAAGUAUUUUUUCUUAAAUUUUAUAUUAGUAUAUUACAAUUAAAUACAAUGUUCAAUAAUAAUGUAAUACAAUUCAGUACCCUGAUCUGAAAUAAAUGAUAUAUUUUCCUUCUAUACAUGUAAUCAAAUUAAAUAACGCCCAUUUAAUACUCUUAUCCGAAAUUGAAUGUUUGGUGUCAAUUAUCUCGUUUAAAAAUUACAUGAUUUAAGAGUGUGUGACAUCGAUUUUCUUGAUCGGAAGGUUUACCUUGUUUAAAGGUGAGAGAGAGCAUGCUUUUUAAUGGAUGUAUGUUGAAUUAGGCUACUUUACUUCUUUUUUAUUUGGAUUUUAAACAUUUUAGGUGAGUCUUUUCUUUAUUUUUAUUUAUUUAGUUAAAGUGUUCUAGAAAUAUCUUCUUUAAGAGUGUUUUAUUUUGGAGAAAUUAAAGUUUGAAGCACUUGGACUGUAGUAUAUUCUUGUAGAUUGUAGGAUCUUAAGUAUUCGUCCAGUUCAACUUUAAACAGAUUGAAUACAUUAGUAGAUUUAUUUCUCUGAUCGGAUACAUAGUAUGAUUUGUAGAUAGCAAAUCCUAUAAGUGUCAGAAUUAUAUUGAAUCCGAUAUACUCAUUAUCUGUUAUUUUGUAGCCUAUUACAAUGUCUUUUAAGUUAAUGUUUUUGUUAAAAUUCAUUUGAGAUAAGAUUUUAUUAAUGAUUUCCCAAAAUUCUUUUAGAAAUUUACAUUCGAUAAAAAAGUGUUGAUACGUGUCUUUGAGUUGACAAAGUUGACAAAACGGACUAGUUACGAUUUUCCAUUUAUAGAGAUUAUCUCUAUUCGGUAAAAUGCAAGUUAUUAGUUUCCACCUAAACAUUUUAAGUUUAUUAAGUUUUAAAUGUUGGUGUAUAAACUUAAACAUAUAUUUGGUAAAGUCAUAAUUUAUUUCUAAUUCAUUUUUCC